CCCAACCAAGGGGAAGAGGGGUACCCGCCUGAGAGGGUUUCCGCCCACCUUGGGAAUAAGUUCCGCCCAAAUUUCUUAGGGAGGCAGCAGUGGGAAUAUUGCACAAUGGGCCCAAGCCUGAUGCAGCGACGCCGCUUGAGGGAUGACGGCCUUCGGGUUGUAAACCUCUUUCAAUAGGGACGAAGCGUAAGUGACGGUACCUAUAGAAGAAGCACCGGCCAACUACGUGCCAGCAGCCGCGGUAAUACGUAGGGUGCGAGCGUUGUCCGGAAUUACUGGGCGUAAAGAGCUCGUAGGUGGUUUGUCGCGUUGUUCGUGAAAACUCACAGCUUAACUGUGGGCGUGCGGGCGAUACGGGCAGACUGGAGUACUGCAGGGGAGACUGGAAUUCCUGGUGUAGCGGUGGAAUGCGCAGAUAUCAGGAGGAACACCGGUGGCGAAGGCGGGUCUCUGGGCAGUAACUGACGCUGAGGAGCGAAAGCGUGGGGAGCGAACAGGAUUAGAUACCCUGGUAGUCCACGCCGUAAACGGUGGGUACUAGGUGUGGGUUUCCUUCCUUGGGAUCCGUGCCGUAGCUAACGCAUUAAGUACCCCGCCUGGGGAGUACGGCCGCAAGGCUAAAACUCAAAGGAAUUGACGGGGGCCCGCACAAGCGGCGGAGCAUGUGGAUUAAUUCGAUGCAACGCGAAGAACCUUACCUGGGUUUGACAUGCACAGGACGCCGGCAGAGAUGUCGGUUCCCUUGUGGCCUGUGUGCAGGUGGUGCAUGGCUGUCGUCAGCUCGUGUCGUGAGAUGUUGGGUUAAGUCCCGCAACGAGCGCAACCCUUGUCUCAUGUUGCCAGCACGUUAUGGUGGGGACUCGUGAGAGACUGCCGGGGUCAACUCGGAGGAAGGUGGGGAUGACGUCAAGUCAUCAUGCCCCUUAUGUCCAGGGCUUCACACAUGCUACAAUGGCCGGUACAAAGGGCUGCGAUGCCGUGAGGUGGAGCGAAUCCUUUAAAGCCGGUCUCAGUUCGGAUCGGGGUCUGCAACUCGACCCCGUGAAGUCGGAGUCGCUAGUAAUCGCAGAUCAGCAACGCUGCGGUGAAUACGUUCCCGGGCCUUGUACACACCGCCCGUCACGUCAUGAAAGUCGGUAACACCCGAAGCCGGUGGCCUAACCCCUUGUGGGAGGAGCCGUCGAAGUGGAUCGCAGUGCG
rnacentral:rRNA from 1 species